GAAUAAUCACUCAACACCAGAUGCAAUGCAACAAAGUAAUUAAUGCUCAGAACUCAGAGCUGGGUAUGAAUCAAGGAUCCUUUACUUAGUAGUUAACUAGAAGACUGGGACUAGUUAAUUUCUCCAGUGCUCAGCUUCUUAUCUACAGGUAUCUGCUGAAUCCUCCAAGGGGAACAGAAUAAGGGGAAGAUCCCUGGAGAUCAGAUUCUCAGAUCCAGUAUCCCGUGUGCUGACCUGCCAUGACAAACACUGGCAGGGAGCCUGCCAUAGAGGAAAAGAGUAAGAAUUGGCUGAGUUCACAUAUGGGCUCCAUCAAUAACUAGCGGCCAGGUGAGAUUAGCUGCCCAGGUGAUGCAAAUCCUGCUGGUUCAUAACCACACUGAAUAGAAUCUAAGUACACUUCCUGAAGAAAAACAGUAUCAUAGGAACCAUUUCAAAAGUUCUAGGAGCUAAUCUUGAAACAGACCAAGCCUGGAGACCCAGUUGCACAGUUCCAGAGAUGGCUUCAAGGUGGCGAAUUAACAACCCGGCCAUUGUUGAGAUGACGUCAGCCUGAUGUCCAGGUGGACUGGGACCCAAGGUGGCCACCAGAACAAGACACGAGGACAUUGUACUCAGCCCAAUUCUUGCAUGCCUUCCUUAUCAAGUUUUCCCUUUUUAAAACCCAUGCCUUCCCACUCAACCACAACUGAAGCAGUUACUUUGGAUAGGAGUCCAGCUGCUUCCCCUUCAAUAGUUUUGGUUAAUAAAGUCACUUUCUUUCUACCAGAGCUUGCUCUUGUUAAUUGAACUCUGCAAAUGGCGAGCACCUGGACCUGCAUUCUGCUACAAUAAUAUGGAGGAGACUUCCGUUAGAUAAAAAUUAUAGGAGACCAUUGUUUUGGACUAAGCUCCUGCACAAGGCCCCAACGGAACUGAUUAAAAAUCAAAAUGGAGUCACGCAUGUUAAAGUUUCGUGUCACCAAACCUAAACUAAGUUUUUGUCUGACCUUUCUAGAAAUCAGGAGAAGGAAAAAUAGCCAAUUGCCCAAACAGGCCCGUUUAAAUCUUUAAUUUUUCUAUUGUUCUGUCUUCUUGUACGUGGUUUUCAAGAAAAAGUAACUUUGAAAAGUAAUGAAUGCACUC
rnacentral:lncRNA from 10 species